rnacentral:rRNA from 1 species
AUUGAACGCUGGCGGCAUGCCUUACACAUGCAAGUCGAACGGUAACGGGCCUUCGGGUGCCGACGAGUGGCGAACGGGUGAGUAAUGCAUCGGAACGUACCUUUCAGUGGGGGAUAACGUAGCGAAAGUUACGCUAAUACCGCAUAUCCUGUGAGCAGGAAAGCAGGGGAUCGCAAGACCUUGCGCUGAUUGAGCGGCCGAUGUCAGAUUAGCUAGUUGGUGAGGUAAAGGCUCACCAAGGCGACGAUCUGUAGCGGGUCUGAGAGGAUGAUCCGCCACACUGGAACUGAGACACGGUCCAGACUCCUACGGGAGGCAGCAGUGGGGAAUUUUGGACAAUGGGGGCAACCCUGAUCCAGCCAUGCCGCGUGAGUGAAGAAGGCCUUCGGGUUGUAAAGCUCUUUCGGCCGGGUAAGAAAGUACGCAUGGGUUAAUAACCUGUGCGGAUGACGGUACCGGCGA